GCUGAAAUAGCUCAGGUGGGGGCGUGUUAGCCUGAGAAUCUAAAGGUCCAUGGUUCAAUCCUGGUUUUGGCA